AGCAUAUUAUUAAGGGGAGGAAAAGAAACUAACAAGGAUUCCCCCAGUAACGGCGAGUGAAGCGGGAAGAGCUCAAAUUUCAAAUCCCUCGGUCUAACAGCCGGGGGAGUUGUAAUCUAGAGAAGGUCUCUCAGGGCCAGCCUGGUUAUAAGUCCCUUGAAACAGGGUGUCAAAGAGGGUGAGAACCCCGUCUUAGAACCGGAGCUAAGUCCGUACGAGGAUCUUUCCAAGAGUCGCGUUGCUUGGGAGUGCAGCGCUAAAUGGGUGGUAAAGUUCAUCUAAAGCUAAAUAUUGCCGGGAGACCGAUAGCGAACAAGUACCGUGAGGGAAAGAUGAAAAGAACUUUGAAAAGAGAGUUAAAAAGUACUUGAAAUUGUUAACAGGUAAGGCUAGGAAACCACUAAUUCAUUGCAUACAUUCGCCUUUGCUUCGGCUGGGGUUAUUUGUGUGUGACGAGAGUCGACAUCCAUUCGGAUUCUUUGGAGAAAGAGUGGAGGCUGGUGCCUUUCUUCGGAUUGGUUUAGCCUUUGUUCACUACAUUGAGCUGGAUGGAGGAAAUUCGACAACCCGCCCUUUUCGGAGGUCGGUACCCAGAGUCUAUUUGUCCCAGUGCAUGAGAGAACAAAGUUCUGUCUGUGCGAAAGAUGAAUACUGCUUUGGAUGUGCCAGAUGCUGGGUUAGCGAUGUUGACGAAAUGGUUUUCUGGCGCCCGUCU
rnacentral:rRNA from 1 species